CUUGUGCUCUUCCGCUCUUUUGAAGAUUGUGCAUAUUGUCUGUUUUAUCUGAUCUGUGACUAAGAACAUCAGUUUCCUAAAGAUAGACAUAGUAAUGGUUUACAAAACGCAGCAUCUGCAUCCUGAUGCUGGAGGGUGGUUAUCUUGUGCAAUCCUAAACUGGUUAGUGUGAAAUAAUUCCACCUCCUCCAAGGCACCACUGCCAAUGUUGCUCAUGCCUCAGUUGCCCUUCAGACUAGAUGUGUGUUCACUGUGUGCUACAUAACUUGUGGUUCCUUUUUUUAUAAGUAGUCACAUCCUGGAAUCCAAUGUAAAUCGAAUAUUGCAUGUUUUGUGCAUAACUGUUCUAAAGGCUCUUAUAUUGUGUACUGUAUGUAUCACAUUAGUGUACACUGCCAUAUAAUGUAGAAAGAAAAGUCUACAUAUAAAUAAUACAGCCAGCUAUCCAAGUGUCAUACCAACUAAAAUGCCAAAUAAACCUUGAACAGUGAAAAAAA